GGUUCCAUAGCUCAACCGGAUAGAGCAACGGUUUUCUAAACCGUAGGUUCCAGGUUCGAGUCCUGGUGGAAUCACAA
rnacentral:tRNA from 1 species